UCCUUUUCCUUGGCCGCUUUCUUUCGCCCGAGAUGUCGGCGCUGCGGCCUGCGUGGGGAUCCGUUGCCAUCCUCGGCAGGGCUGGCUUGGGAGGCGCCGUGGGGCCUCCACUCUUGUCCGCAAGUGCCUUCCAGUCCCGUGGGCCGACGUGUCCCACUCCCUCUCCGGUUGGGAGAACCGUUUGCAGGCCCAGACUGGCUUCCUUGCUUCUUCGCAGGUUAGUGUAGGACAGGAAGAGGCGAGGAAACAUGGCGCUGCUUCGUUCUGGCCUCGAGGAAGGCCUCGCGGCUGCAUGUGCCUCUGACUGAUGCAGACAUCAUGGAGACGUAACUAUUAAGAUGCAAACACAGCAGAAUCCUUUUACCAUGAAGAUGAAGUCUCUGUCAACCACAUAUUUCUGAUUUUCAUCAGUGGCUGCAUGCGCAUCCGACAAUCAUACUGUCACAGGGAGGCAUGAAGAUACAACUAUUAAGAUGCAAACACGGCAUAAUCCUUUUAACAGGAAGAUGAAGUCUCUGGCAGCCAAAUAUUUCUGAUUUGUUUACACAGUGUCCUUGCUUAGAGGUGGAAAGAGACAUGGACAGGAAGUAGACCAACAUCGUGAGGCGUCACUUCCUACACAGCAGUGGAAUACUGGAGGGAUUUCUGUUUCUCUUGUCAAACAGCAUCUCCAAGGAAUUGGAAGAUUGCAAAUUGCUCAUCCAUUCUCCAGUGUUCAUUUUAACCAGAAGGACAUGCAAGUAUGGAGCAAUUCCAAGUCAGUUUCUCAACUGGAUUUAACAAUAAAGCAAAGUAAUAAAAA